rnacentral:rRNA from 1 species
GGCGACGUUCAGGCCAGCAUCGGUUCUGGUGGCUGGAUAAAGGCCUAGGGAAUGUGGCUCUCUUCGGGGAGUGUUAUAGCCCAGGUGCAAUACAGCCUACUAGGACCGAGGACCGCGCUCCGGCUAGGAUGCUGGCGUAAUAGGUGCAAGCGA